rnacentral:lncRNA from 1 species
CCGCAUAGUGAGCUAUAAAAGGCCCCGAUAAGACAAUGUAAAACAAUUCAAACGAGAAAACUAACGGCCUUAUUUAUGUAAACAAAUGAACGAAAAACAAAUAUGUAACACAUAAACAAACGACAACCACUGAAUUACAGGCUCCUGACUUGGGACAGGCACAUACAUAAAUAAUGUGGCGGGGUUAAACAUGUUAGCGGGAUCCCAACCCUCCCCUAACCUUGGACAGUGGUAUAACAGUAC